rnacentral:rRNA from 1 species
CGCGUAGGCGGCCCGUUUUGUCAGGCGUGAAAGCCCUGGGCUCAACCUGGGAACUGCGCUUGGGACGGAUGGGCUAGAGAUCGGGAGAGGAGAGUGGAAUUCCCAGUGUAGAGGUGAAAUUCGUAGAUAUUGGGAAGAACACCGGUGGCGAAGGCGGCUCUCUGGACCGAUACUGACGCUGAGGCGCGAAAGCGUGGGGAGCAAACAGGAUUAGAUACCCUGGUAGUCCACGCUGUAAACGAUGUGUGCUAGACGUUGGGGAGCCUAGCUCUUCGGUGUCGCAGCUAACGCGGUAAGCACACCGCCUGGGGAGUACGGCCGCAAGGUUAAA